UACGUAGGGAGCAAGCGUUGUUCGGAUUUACUGGGCGUAAAGGGCGCGUAGGCGGCAGAUCAAGUCAGCUGUGAAAUCUCCGAGCUUAACUCGGAACGGUCAGCUGAUACUGUUUUGCUAGAGUGCAGAAAGGGCAAUCGGAAUUCUUGGUGUAGCGGUGAAAUGCGUAGAUAUCAAGAGGAACACCUGAGGCGAAGGCGGGUUGCUAGGCUGACACUGACGCUGAGGCGCGAAAGCCAGGGGAGCAAACGGG
rnacentral:rRNA from 1 species